UACGGAGGGUGCAAGCGUUAUCCGGAUUUACUGGGUUUAAAGGGUGCGUAGGCGGGUAAGUAAGUCCGUGGUGAAAUCUCUGAGCUUAACUCAGAAACUGCCGUGGAUACUAUUUGCCUUGAAUAUUGUGGAGGUGAGCGGAAUAUGUCAUGUAGCGGUGAAAUGCUUAGAUAUGACAUAGAACACCAAUUGCGAAGGCAGCUCACUACACAAUCAUUGACGCUGAGGCACGAAAGCGUGGGGAUCAAACAGG
rnacentral:rRNA from 1 species